UCAUUACAUCGAUCGACAAGCUCACCUUGUUAUGCCACAUUAUACAUCGUACAGAAUUUCGCAAGAGAGUAAUUCCGACAGACUACAUUGUAAGGAGCAUUUGAACAAUGUCGCAGUUAUCAAAGGGUUCAAUUGCACCAAAUUUGCAGUUUCAAUACUACUUUGGUGGUGACGUUCUCAUUUUGCAAUGCAUAGGAUUGUACUCAAUGGGUAGCCUUUUCAAAAAUACUCAACCAAGUUUCAAUUUGUGGGAAUUCCCUCCAUUCAUCUGUGGUGUAGGCAUAGUAUUCUACGGAGUAACCGCUGACUUUUGCAAUGUUAUCGUACAAGCCCGGCAACGUUCCUGGUUUGCUAUUGAGGUUCUUGCAAUUGUUCUCUGUGCUUCGUUGGGAACAUACAAAGGUUAUCGGUUAUGGGUUUAUCGCCGUGAAUUUUAUAACUUCAUUGAGGCCGUUCAUGUCCGUUGGGAUGAGGAAGUCGCCGAAAAUACGAUCACCGAGAGAAUGGUGGAGGCUGCCAAAUCCAUACGUUUGUUCAGAACUUGGUAUGGCACAGUAGUGGCGGCCAUUUUUGGAUCAUAUAUAAUACGUCCAUAUGUGGCAUAUUGUCGUUUCAAAUUAUCGGAAGGGAAUGGCACCUUCGAUUUUACACAAACUGUCUAUCCGUCUGUGCAUCCAUUUCCGUUGACUACACCUCAGUCAUUUUUUUGUUACGUUGUGAUGGAGACGAUUGGAGUCAUCUUCUGCACUCUUUACUGGACAGCAGUUGAUGGACUAUUUGCGCAGCUCACAACUCAAUUGGCGAUUCAGUUUCAAAUACUUGCGAAUCGGCUUCGUUAUAUACCAACUCCCGAAAUGAUAGGGUCGCACCAUACGGCGAUGGUUGUGCAACGAUUGAAGAAAACCGUACAGGAUUAUUUGAAACUAUUUGAAUAUAUCAACAAAUUGGAAACAAUCUACAAUCCUAUACUAUUGACCACUGUCUUGGUCAACGGUUUGAAUAUUUGCACGUGUCUUUAUAGCCUGCAAUAUAGACUCUCAAAGCAAGAGUGGGCAAUGGCUGGAAAAAUUGUCAUACUCACUACCGGUAUAACGGCACAAACUAUGAUGUUUUGCAUGUGCGCCCAACGUUUGAAUGAUGCGGUCGCUGGAGUUCGCCAGGCGGCCUAUAACUGUUCAUGGACAGAAUUCGAUUCAACAAUAAAAAAUCUACUUUUAUUAAUAAUGAUCCAGACUGAACCAGAAUUCAUAUACGCAGCUUAUGGUUUUGUUUACUUGAAUAAGCCGCAGAUGACAGUGGAGUAGAAGACCUCGGCUUAUAAGUCUAUUGAAGAGAGUGGGGGUAUCGAGCCAGGACCAUUCUCACGUGCCAUUAAUAUAUCCGAUCCAAUGAACUUUUAAUUCAAAAUAUUUCAGCCAUUGUUAACCAGAUCUUCACAGCGGCUAUGCGAUUUUUCACGCUCCUGAGGAACAUGACCUGAAAAAUAAUACGGAAAUUCGAGCACAAAUCUUGCAAUCCUGUUUUAAAUAUGAUGCUCAGCAUGAGCAAACAUGCCUGAAUAAAC